rnacentral:rRNA from 1 species
ACACGACUACAUUAGAUACCCCCGUAGUCCUAGCCGUAAACGAUACUCGCUAGGUGUCGGCCACGGUGCGACCGUUGUCGGUGCCGUAGGGAAGCCGUGAAGCGAGCCACCUGGGAAGUACGGCCGCAAGGCUGAAACUUGAAGGAAUUGGCGGGGGAGCACAACAACGGGUGGAGCUUGCGGUUUAAUUGGAUUCAACGCCGGAAAUCUUACCGGGACCGACAGCAACAUGAAGGCCAAGCUGAAGACUUUGCCGGAUUAGCUG